UGAUCCACAAUACAUCCCACCCUAUAAAGCGCAUCCUCAAACAGAUUACCUAAACCACUGUCUGAAAAUUUUCAAUUCUUUCUCUCCAUUUCCGAUUUGGAUAAUUGAGUCAAAAGGGUCUCAGAUUCUCAGUGAUUUAGGGUUGAGAUAUGGAGACUGGUGGUAAGUUGAAGAAAGGUGCCGGGGGAAGGAAGGGCGGUGGUCCGAAGAAGAAGGCGGUGACCCGGUCCGUCAGAGCCGGCCUCCAGUUCCCAGUCGGAAGAAUCGGUCGCUACUUGAAGAAGGGGAGGUAUGCUCAGAGAGUCGGGUCUGGAGCUCCGGUUUACUUAGCCGCUGUGCUCGAGUACCUCGCAGCUGAAGUGCUGGAAUUGGCUGGAAAUGCAGCUCGGGACAACAAGAAGAACAGGAUUAUCCCAAGGCAUCUGCUACUUGCUGUGAGGAACGAUGAGGAGCUUGGAAAAUUGCUUGCUGGUGUGACCAUUGCUCACGGCGGCGUGCUUCCAAACAUUAACCCAGUCCUCCUGCCCAAGAAAUCAGAAAAGGCCGCCGGAAAAGAGCCAAAAUCGCCAUCGAAGGCUACCAAUUGUCUGUAAUAUGCAGGACUUUCCUGGGAUACAAACGAACCUGUUCUUAAGGAAGCUUUUGGAAAACAUGGUGAAAUAAUUGAAGUUAAAGUUAUAUGUGAUCACGUGAGUGGGAAAUCGAGAGGUUAUGGAUUUGUGAAGUUUACUUCUGAAAGUGAAGCCACCACUGCUCUCAAGGAGAUGGAUGGUCAGGUUCUGGAUGGCAGACAAAUCCGGUUGCAAUUUGCACACAAGGAAUAGUGACAUUGAUUUCAGUGUAUAGCGUCUCCCAUCUGCCAGUAUGUCAAAUGUUUAAGUGGUAAUGUCAUGUCUUGGUGCUUUAUUGAGCUGGUACAGUGGACUGGAGGGGGCAUGAUGUUGUUGGUGGUGGUAACCAGCAAGUCCAAGUUUGAGUCGCUCACAAAUUUUUGUCUUCAAAUGAUAAUUCUGUAAGUUCGUAUUAUAAUUUUUUUGGAGUUCCUCUUGUUAUCAAUUCCGUAAAUGAAAUCAAUAUAUUUGAAGAGACUUCAUCAAA